rnacentral:rRNA from 1 species
AACGGGUGAGGAACACGUGAAGAAUCUGCCCUCCACUUGGGAUAACACCGGGAAACCGGUGCUAAUACUGAAUAUUGAAACAUAAGUGGCAUCACUGAGUUUGAAAGAAUUUCGGUGGAGGAUGACUUCGCGGCCUAUCAGCUAGUUGGUGAGGUAAUGGCUCACCAAGGCAACGACGGGUAGCCGGCCUGAGAGGGCGACGGCCACACUGGGACUGAGACACGGCCCAGACUCCUACGGGAGGCAGCAGUGGGGAAUAUUGGGCAAUGGAGGAAACUCUGACCCAGCGACGCCGCGUGCGGGAUGAAGGCCUUCGGGUUGUAAACCGCUUUCAGUAGGGAAGAAGCGAAAGUGACGGUACCUACAAAAGAAGCACCGGCUAACUAUGUGCCAGCAGCCGCGGUAAUACAUAGGGUGCAAGCGUUGUCCGGAAUUAUUGGGCGUAAAGAGCUCGUAGGUCGUUUGUUACGUCGGAUGUGAAAACCUGAGGCUCAACCUCAGGCCUGCAUUCGAUACGGGCAAACUAGAGUUUGGUAGGGGAGACUGGAAUUCCUGGUGUAGCGGUGGAAUGCGCAGAUAUCAGGAGGAACACCAAUGGCGAAGGCAGGUCUCUGGGCCAUAACUGACACUGAGGAGCGAAAGUGCGGGGAGCGAACAGGAUUAGAUACCUGGUAGUCCGCACCGUAAACGGUGGGCACUAGUUGUGGGAACCUUCCACGGUUUCCGCGACGCAGCAAACGCAUUAAGUGCCCCGCCUGGGGAGUACGAUCGCAAGAUUAAAACUCAAAGGAAUUGACGGGGCCCCGCACAAGCAGCGGAGCAUGCGGCUUAAUUCGACGCAACGCGAAGAACCUUACCAAGGCUUGACAUAUAGCGAAAAGUGGCAGAGAUGUCAUGUCCGCAAGGGCGCUAUACAGGUGGUGCAUGGUUGUCGUCAGCUCGUGUCGUGAGAUGUUGGGUUAAGUCCCGCAACGAGCGCAACCCUCGUUCUGUGUUACCAGCAUUUAGUUGGGGACUCACAGGAGACUGCCGGGGUCAACUCGGAGGAAGGUGGGGAUGACGUCAAAUCAUCAUGCCCCUUAUGUCUUGGGCUGCACGCAUGCUACAAUGGCCGGUACAAGUGCUGCGAGAUCGCAAGAUUGAGCGAAUCACAUAAAGCCGUCUCAGUUCGGAUUGAGUCUCAAC